CAGAUAGAUGGAGAGAGCUACACCACCCUCAGAUAGAGGGAGAGAGAGAGCUACACCACUCCCAGAUAGAGGGAGAGAGAGAGCUACACCACUCCCAGAUAGAGGGAGAGAGAGAGCUACACCACUCCCAGAUAGAGAGCUACACCACUCCCAGAUAGAGGGAGAGAGAGAGCUGCACCACUCCCGGAUAGAUGGAGAGAGCUACACCACCCUCAGAUAGAGGGAGAGAGAGAGCUACACCACUCCCAGAUAGAGGGAGAGAGAGAGCUACACCACUCCCAGAUAGAAGGAGAGAGAGAGCUACACCACUCCCAGAUAGAGGGGGAGAAAGAGCUACACCACUCCCAGAUAGCGAGAGAGCGCUACACCACUCCCAGAUAGAGGGAGAGAGAGAGCUACACCACUCCCAGAUAGCGAGAGAGAGAGCUACAGGAGCUGUGAAUGAGUGCGGGAGUGUAGGGGGAAAAAAAAUUACACUCGAGCUGUACCCCCAGCCAAUGGAAAACAAGAGAAAAUGGCGCCAAAAAUAGCAUUGUUUUUCUGCCACCUGCAGUAGAGGCAGUAACAGUAUGGAGAGAUAGUCCAGGUCUAGUCUGUAGUAGAAUCCUCAGAGAGAAAGGAACAAAUGUAGGCAGAAACACGAACGAUGAAGAUAAUCUCUUCUUCAGAGGAUCAGCGGUAGUAUGCAAUGUCCCCUAGUGUGCCUCACACACACACAGCCGCGGACACAGACACACACACCGCAACAAACACAGACUGCAGCAUUUGGGACCAAUAGGCGUUAGAGGUUCUCUUUCACACAAACACACGGUUAGACAAAGCACAGCCUCGGCAUCUCUGUGUAUCUCACAUUGGUUCUUUCGAUAGUACUGUGAAGAAAACACACAGAGAGAUGCUGCUAGGGAGGGAGGAGGGAGGAGUGUGCGCAGAGCGGCAAGUGGGAGGGACAUGAGAAUAACAUCUCGCUCUCCUUCACUCCCAGGGUGAACAUGUGAGGGGGAGGAUGGACACAUGGAUGGAGGGAAGAGAAGGAGAAGAGAAGGUGGGAGGAUGCAGAUGGUUCAUACCGAGGUUCUAACUGAUGGGAGAGCAGAGAUAAAGGAGAGAAGAGAAGGUGGGAGGAUGCAGAUGGUUCAUACCGAGGUUCUAACUGAUGGGAGAGCAGAGAUAAAGGAGAGAAGAGAAGGUGGGAGGAUGCAGAUGGUUCAUACCGAGGUUCUAACUGAUGGGAGAGCAGAGAUAAAGGAGAGAAGAGAAGGUGGGAGGAUGCAGAUGGUUCAUACCGAGGUUCUAACUGAUGGGAGAGCAGAGAUAAAGGAGAGAAGAGAAGGUGGGAGGAUGCAGAUGGUUCAUACCGAGGUUCUAACUGAUGGGAGAGCAGAGAUAAAGGAGAGAAGAGAAGGUGGGAGGAUGCAGAUGGUUCAUACCGAGGUUCUAACUGAUGGGAGAGCAGAGAUAAAGGAGAGAAGAGAAGGUGGGAGGAUGCAGAUGGUUCAUACCGAGGUUCUAACUGAUGGGAGAGCAGAGAUAAAGGAGAGAAGAGAAGGUGGGAGGAUGCAGAUGGUUCAUACCGAGGUUCUAACUGACGGGAGAGCAGAGAUAAAGGAGAGAAGAAAAAUGUGGAUCCUUGAAAGCAGGAGGCCACACCCCUCUCCCAUCACUCCCCUCUCUCCACCCCUCUCCCAUCACUCCCCUCUCUCCACCCCUCUCCCAUCACUCCCCUCUCUCUUUCUAUUCCUUCUAUCUCCAUCUCUCCCUCUGUGGCAGGUGCUGUGUUAAGCCUAUUCAGUGGGAGGGUGGCGUCUGUGAAAGGGAUGCAUUUGUCACACAUAAAACAAACACAAGCGCCUCAGAAUACUGAUGAGUGACACUGUUCUACAGGGUGACUGUACAGACAGCCUGUGAAUGGCUGUCCAUUUCCAUCCUUCAGCUGCUCUUUUCACCGUCUGGAGAAUCAGCGUGGAAUACACACCACAGGGGGUAUAUGGAUGAUGAGGCACAGAUAAACACUGGACCAUAGAGAUGGCUGGGAUUCAAUGCCACUGACAUUCUGUUGGGGGUUUAUGAAUUUAAUUAAUGCCAAUAGAUAGUGAUGUCCCAACAACACCUAAUCAAUAAUGACAAGAUACGCAUUGGAGCACAUUGGAGGGUGUGGUAGUGAAUGGGGCAUAUGAUCAAAUGUGAGUCAGGGGGUGUCAGUCACAUGAUGGCACUUCCUACUCUUCCCCCUGUUAUGAUGUGGAGGGGAAGGUUAGUGUUAGGACAUAGACAAAGACACUCUCCAGGAUACACUUCCACACUCCACCACCAGAGGGAAGCAACCAGGUCUAGGUGCUGAGCCAAGGCUUGAUAAGCACAUCAGGUACUUACAAUUAAGGUGAUGUCACAGUGGCAGCUUGGGGAACCAACUGGUUUUGUUUGAGGGCUUUCGUUAGUUUUUUGAGUCUUUAGUUUGGGAAGGCCUUUUCUUUUUUGUACAUAUUUAUGUUUCAGCACCAUCUGAAGAAAUAAUCAUUUGCUUGGACUCGCCGACCCAGACGUCAAGAGAGACAGUGCUGGCCCUGGACCAAGGUAAGGUUGCUCUCUCCCUGGGCACAGUACAUUCAACAUUGAGGUGCAUAUGCUGAUUUCUCACAAAUGCACACAUUCAUUCAGGUUACAAACCAUGUAACUAUGUAACUAAGACCCCUAGACAUAAUGAGUCAGGUUACAGACCAUGUUACGAGGCCAAAGACCCCUAGACUUAACCAAUGCAACAAUAUUAGUAGGCUAGUUAAUGGGUUUGUAACAGCCCUCUCCCCUCCACAUCCCCCUCUCCUCUGAGGCAGCCGUGGUUUACAGGGACAAGGUCACUCCAGAGAGAAAUCUGUCUGUCUGUGAGUGAGUGAGUGAGUGAGUGAGUGAGUGAGUGAGUGAGUGAGUGAGAGAUGCGAGAUAGACGGCAGUUGGGUAUGGCCAUUCCCGAGCUCAACACCAACAAUUUAAAAUGGGUACUAAUAUCCUUCCAAUUCCUUUUAAAAGGCUAAUUCACUUUAGCGGUAUUAGUGGUCUCAGGGCCACCGGAACAUCUGUUGCAAGUCGGCAUUUCAUUUUCA